UCUUUUUCGAAGGUAGAGUCAGGUGAUUGAUAGGAUCAUUUUGCGAACUAGUGUCCAAUGAGAUGGGUGCUGAGAUUUUGUCUUUGUCCUUCAUGAUCUUGCGUUGCAGCCGUUCAAUGAUCCACAAGAUUCCCAAAGCUUCGGCAACCACAACCGUCACCACCCCAACAAAAAAAAACCGAGGAAGAGAAUGAAGAUAAAAACCAAAAACAUUUUCUUUUCCUUCUUUCAACACCCCAAUUGAUGGAAAAACUAUAAGGACAAUUUAAAAAAAAAUGGAAUACGAGAGAAUGAGAGGAAUGAGGUGAAAAGGAAGACGAACCCCAGAUGAGGAAAUUGAGAACGACCCAGAUGAGAGAUGAAGUUAAAAUUGGAAUCUUUAUUUUACAUUUGUUCUUAAGAAUCGGAUGCUAAAAUUAAAAGCUGCAUUUUCUCUCUUUUUUGUUGUUCCUUCUGCAUUUUCUCUCUUUCAAACAGGGCAGCAACCUGUUUGUCUGCAACAUCUACGAAUUGAGUUUUGGAGCGAAACCAAUUUUAUUAUAAAAUUUAAUUAAUUUGCUUUAUUUCUCUAAAAC
rnacentral:lncRNA from 1 species